rnacentral:rRNA from 1 species
CACGGGGGGAGCAAGCGUUGUUCGGAAUCACUGGGCGUAAAGGGCGUGUAGGCGGUCAGGUAAGUGAGACGUGAAAUGCCCCGGCUUACCCGGGGACCUGCGUCUCAUACUGCUUGGCUUGAGUACGGGAGAGGGUGUGGGAAUUCCUGGUGUAGCGGUGAAAUGCGUAGAUAUCAGGAGGAACACCGGUGGCGAAGGCGCACACCUGGCCCGAUACUGACGCUGAGGCGCGGAAGCUAGGGGAGCAAACGGG